CAGACUCCUACGGGAGGCAGCAGUGGGGAAUAUUGGACAAUGGGCGCAAGCCUGAUCCAGCCAUGCCGCGUGAGUGAUGAAGGCCCUAGGGUUGUAAAGCUCUUUCAGCGAGGAGGAUAAUGACGUUACUCGCAGAAGAAGCCCCGGCUAACUUCGUGCCAGCAGCCGCGGUAAUACGAAGGGGGCUAGCGUUGUUCGGAAUUACUGGGCGUAAAGCGCACGUAGGCGGACUUUUAAGUCAGAUGUGAAAUCCCAAGGCUCAACCUUGGAACUGCAUUUGAAACUGGGAGUCUAGAGAUCAGGAGAGGUUAGUGGAAUACCGAGUGUAGAGGUGAAAUUCGUA
rnacentral:rRNA from 13 species